rnacentral:misc_RNA from 1 species
CUCUCUCUCUCUCUCUCUCCUUUUAUCUUCGUUGAAAAAACAGUCAUUCUCUUUCUCCUACCAGACCCAACAAAAAUCCAUAUUUAAAGACAUGGGAUUCAAUGUUCUUGGGUAAUUUAAUAUUAUAUUACAGUUUCUAGAUUUUUGUUUUCUUUUGUUGGGAAGAACAGGGUGGAAAAAUGUCUGCAAUUAGGAAUAUGAUAAUAAGGUCGAGGUCCCACCGGGUGGUGCAGGACGGGCCGGCGCCGGAGGCGGAGGAGUGGCGUGGAGGGGAUACGUCUUGCUGGGCAAACAUGCCACAGGAGCUCUUAAGAGAGGUUCUAUUGAGAAUAGAAGCAUCGGAAAGCAGUUGGCCACCCAGAAAAAGUGUGGUGGCUUGUGCCGGUGUUUGCAGGACCUGGAGACACAUCACUAAGGAUCUAGUUAAAGUCCCUGAACUUUCCGGCAGGCUUACUUUCCCCAUCUCCGUCAAGCAGGUACCCCACUUACCAAAUAUGCGUGCUGUUAUGAUUUGUAAAAUUAGGAAUUUUUUUUUUAAAUGUAUGGAGGUAAUUUAACCUAGAAAAAUUGUGUCUUUGAUUUGUUAUUGGCGGCGAAAUUGUGGAUUGAGUUCAAAUUAUGGGCAUAUAAACUCAGCUCAAUUGUUUCCGGUUGAUGUUGUGCAAUUGUUCUUUUUGGGAUUCUGAAAAAAAUCCAUGCUUUUUGUUCUUUUCUUGGAGGGGUUCGAAUGGAUUAACUGAGUAAAAUUUUUCUCUGUGAUUCGAAAAGAGCUGUUCCUAUACAGGUAUUGUUUCUUUCAUUUCAAAGAGCGUUUUUCCCAGUGUAGUUUGGUUGCAAUCUGGUGGAAACCUGCUCACAACGGCUAAUUUCGGAAUACAAGGAAUUGUGAUUUCUCUUCUGAAUCCGGAUUUCAAUAACUUGUAAUAUUUUUGCCUGGCGAUUCAAUUAGUCAUUUGUGGUUGUCUGAGACAUGUAGUUUUUUUCAUGUUCUUUCGGUCCGUGAUAUAAAAGUUGGUAUGGAUAAGUAUUGACUUGCUGUUGAUCUCCGAUUUCUGUAUAUUGGGAAAGUUGUGUGGGAAGUGAUAUCAGCAUGUCUUGAGCCUUACCGUGGUGUUUAUGGCAGCUUGUUUGUUCAGGAUAUUUCUGGAUGAAGUUUUCAACAAUUUCAUGUGUAACUACUAAUUGCAAGAGCUUGGGAGUUGGGACCACCUUUUCCAAGCACGACAAUUUCCCAAUUGCUGUGAGGUUUACACUGGAAAUUGCUUGAAAACUUCCCUUAUAAAGUGUUGCGUCCCCUUUAGGGACCACCUUUUGCUUCAGUAGCGCAGGUCCAAUGCUUUUUUAGCUGCAACUUUGGCAAAACUGAUGUGGAUAUUUUCUUCUAUGGUUUCUAAUUUUCCUAAUUAUAAAAAAUGUUUGUAGUUUUUUGUGCCUUGAGAUAUAUUCUGAUUAAUGCUCAUGCUGAUGAACCUCUAGUUCUUUAAGUGUUGUGGGUUGCGAUAUGAGAACUAUAUAAUGGCUGCUUUUUUGAGUUUAGAUUUCAUUAUAAACUUUUCUUUUCAUUUGGAGUCUCCUUGUCAUGCAUUGUCACAUUUUAUGGCCAUUGUUUGCAGCCUGGUCCAAGGGAUUUUCUCCUCCAGUGCUUUAUAAAGCGGUGCCGGUCCACUCAGACGUACUAUCUCUACCUCAGUUUAACAAAUGGUGAGAAUUUGGUUCUUAUUACUUAUUUCUUCUGAGAUUAUUUUUUACAUCAGAUCACAAUUUAUAAAAUUCACCAUCAUUGAUCCUUGUUUUAUUUAGAUGGGUUGUCUAAAUAGUCAAUGUGAUUAAGCUCUUGAUUGUAUGAGGAAUAGGCUAUCUUAAUCCUGGUAGUCGUUGAAUUGAACUUACUUUCAUUUUUCCCUAAUGCAGCACUAGCUGAUGAUGGAAAGUUCCUUCUUGCUGCUCGCAAGUGUAGACGCCCCACCUUCACGGAUUAUAUCAUCUCUCUAGAUGCUGACAAUAUGUCAAAGGGAAGUAGUACUUAUGUUGGGAAGCUAAGGUAUAAUAUGACUUUCAUAGAGUACAACUUCUAUUUUCUUACUCAUAUUUGCUAAAAUCUUUAACAUCUUCUCUUCCUUUUGGCAAGAUCAAAUUUUUGGGGAACCAAGUUCACAGUUUUUGAUGGGCAGCUCCCUCAUGCUGGGGCAAAGAUGACAAAAAGUCGCUCCACUAGGCUAGUAAAUUUGAAACAAGUUUCACCUAGGGUCCCUGCUGGCAACUAUCCUGUGGCACACCUCUCAUAUGAAUUGAAUGUGUUGGGUUCCAGGGGUCCUAGGAGAAUGCAGUGUGUUAUGGAUGGUAUCCCGGCCACUUCUAUUCAACCUGGUGGAGUGGCCCCCACACAGACUGAGUUUUCUCAUCACAGUGUAGAUUUCUUUCCAUCACUCCCAUUCUUCCUUUCAAAACCAAACUGUGCAGAGAAUUUUCUAUCAGGACCUUUGUCCAGUCAGAAAGAUGGAGCAUUG